rnacentral:sRNA from 2 species
AGGGACCAGCCGCAUUCCGGUUCACCCGCGCCGCCCACACCCACCUGCGAGUGCUCACGCCGUUUUGUUGGCC